AUUAAAGCUUUAAUAGUCCUAUUAUUUAAAAAUUUUGUAAACCAGAUGUUUAAUUUUUUAAUAGAAACAUGUCAAUUUUGUGAUGGUGUUAAAGGAUUGUUUUACAAUGAUGUAAAAUUAUAAUGUGAAUAUUUGGUGUCCUUUGUUUUUUUUUACUGGAACAAGAAAUAAGACAUAACAGUUCAGAACUUCAAACAGAUUAUGAUGUUUUCACUACACCAGAUCAUCAGUAAAUAAAAUUAUAAUAAGUCUGUUCAUAAGAACGUACACACUUAUGGAUUAUCUGGUUUUUGAUUAAAAGAAAAAAAUUGCUUUCAAUUUUUCCAUUUUGUGUGAAGGGGUAGUGUAAGGCCCACAAGUAUGCAAACUUAUAAAAGUGCAUGAAGUUCAUCUCCCAUCGAACACCAAUGAAGUCCUUUUUACAUUCUUACAGUUGCUUCAUUGUUCUAGCUGAAUUCAACAACUAUGAGGUCUUUUGAGAAAAAAAGACAGUGCUUUGUUCAGGAGGCGACUGAAAAGUGCAAUACUACUUUAAAUAGUGCAUUAUGUGCCAGUUGAAAUAGAAGCUAAAAUAUUCCUGAAAGCCAGGAGGUUCUUUUGUCCCCAUUCCUACACACACACUCCUGUGGCUGAUCAGCAUUUUGAAUCCCUAAUGAGGUAGAUGCUGCUGCGUCACACUCAAGAUAUGGGAUGGACAAAGCAAAGUCCUCCAUUGCCUUCUUUUAUGUGGAGUUGAUGAAAUAGCUACUUUUCAUAAAAUCAACCAUUCAUUGUUUUGUCACAGUGAACACAAAGUCAGGUCUGAUCUAGCAGGCUGGCUGGAUUGUGCUAACUGACCCACAGAAGGUUGUGACUCUUUGUUUGUGAGUUGCUUUUCUUCUAAAUGCUAAAUUGCACAACUUGUUGAUAGUAUCAGAGCAUGGAGAGCAAGACCAAAAGUCUAAAGCGUGUCCUAACCCUUGAGAUGUUUGUUACCAUCUGCUGCUGCAAUGAGUACAGCACAACUGCAGAACAGGUUGCCUAGCAUGUUUUGUAGUAGGAAAAGGCAUUUAGACAAGAAAUAAGUGAAAUUUAAUCUCUGCUACAGAAAAAUAAAUUUCCAGUUCUUGAGCAUGCAGUGAAAGCUCUGUUACAUAUGGGCACUAAAUUAAAAUUUAGUGGAGAUUUUCCUGUGCAUGUCACUGAAAAAAAAAAGUAAAAUCAACAAAACCCAAGCAAGACCAAGAUUCAGAUUGCCUGGGAUUAUAGGAACUGGAAAAAAUUAAAGACUGGUAAACUGAAUGCCUUUAAAUAACCAGAAAAUACCUAAAACUUGAAGAAUGCAAAGGAAAUGUAGUUAUAAAUUCAGAAAUUACCUAUACCAAAAUAGAGUUCAGACAAUAGAUUAGAAAUAGUUAACACAAAUUGUUCUGUGUUAUUUUCAUUUUUGUGUUGGUUUCUCCCAGAUUUUGAGUUGUAUUUCUAGUUUUAAAAAGGUAAACACCCAUAACUAGGGGCUUACAUAGCGUUAUGCCUUAUAAAAAAAAUAUUGUGGAGGAAAUAUAUUUGUUUGUAUUCCAACAGAACUCUCUGUGUACUUUACUUUCCUUAUUGCCAUUUACUACUUUCAAUUUGUGAUUCAGUCAUUUAGAGAAGAGUUGGGGGGUUUUGUUCUUUUGGUUGUUCUUCUGGUUGGUCUUUUUUAAGGAUUAGUGAUUUUAAACCAAUAAAAACUAGUGAACAUAUGCAGAACAAAUACGAUUAUUAAUUUUAUGAAUAUAAUCUGAUUUCAGGUUGAUAGUACUUCUUUAAAUUUUGGCCUACCAUGGUCAGGACAGUCUCGUGUUUCUACUUACAGAAGUAAUGGAUUACUAUUUUGAUAAUAUGAUGUGCAUAACUUAGAAAAUAUUUAAUUUCAUACAUGAUCUAUUUUUUCACAAUUUUUCUUUUAUACCAAGGAAUUUUAACCCCUGUACUAUUUGCAGCAAAAUUCUGGAUAAUUUACAGUACCUUAAUUGCUCUGUGUUAAUACAUAUUAUUGCCUUUACAGAGUCCUCUGGGAAGAAAAAGUAGCACUGGACAAACUUUUAAAUAAUUUUAAAUUUCACUGCAUAGGAAGGGGACAGUGACCCAGGCACUCUAAAGCCUAAAUCAAGUUCUUCUCCCUGCCACCCUCUUCUGGAGUUUCUUCACCAAUGACAUUACUGAUGACUAUGUGAAAUCUCCAAGAUCCAAUGGCACCAGCAAUUAUGGAAUACACUCUUCCAGAAGAUAUGCCAUAUAGAACACAAGAUCACACGCUGGGUUUAGAACGCCUGCUCAGCAAAGCAGUGAAUGACACGACUUGUGGGAUCACCUUCAGAGUACUUUCACCCACGGUUUCUGUAAAACUGCAUGACAAGAUGUUUCUUAAUUAAAACAUUUACAUGUUAAAAAUAUUGAAGGAGAGGUUUUCAUAAUAAAGUCGGGAUGGUUUCUGUA